GAUGAACGCUGGCGGCGUGCUUAACACAUGCAAGUCGAACGGGAAUUACUUUAUUGAAACUUCGGUCGAUUUAAUUUAAUUCUAGUGGCGGACGGGUGAGUAACGCGUGGGUAACCUGCCUUAUACAGGGGGAUAACAGUCAGAAAUGACUGCUAAUACCGCAUAAGCGCACGGAACCGCAUGGUUCUGUGUGAAAAACUCCGGUGGUAUAAGAUGGACCCGCGUUGGAUUAGCUUGUUGGUGAGGUAACGGCUCACCAAGGCGACGAUCGGUAGCCGGACUGAGAGGUUGAACGGCCACAUUGGGACUGAGACACGGCCCAG
rnacentral:rRNA from 1 species